GACGAACGCUGGCGGUAUGCCUAAUACAUGCAAGUCGAACGAGAAAGUUUGCUUCGGUGAAUGAAUAAAGUGGCGAACGGGUGAGUAACGCGUAGGUAAUCUACCUUUUAGUCGGGGAUAAACACUGGAAACGGUGUCUAAUACCGGAUGUGAACUUUUACCGCAUGGUGAAAAGUUUAAAGUUUGAGUAACGCUAAAAGAUGAGCCUGCGUCGCAUUAGCUAGUUGGUAAGGUAAUGGCUUACCAAGGCUACGAUGCGUAGCGGAUUUGAGAGAGUGAUCCGCCACACUGGGACUGAGAUACGGCCCAGACUCCUACGGGAGGCAGCAGUAAGGAAUAUUGCGCAAUGGACGAAAGUCUGACGCAGCAAUACCGCGUGAAUGAAGAAGGCCUAUGGGUUGUAAAAUUCUGUCAGAAGGGAAGAACAAGUCGGUUUAGAGCUGACUUUGACGGUACCUUCAGAGGAAGCUCCGGCUAACUCCGUGCCAGCAGCCGCGGUAA
rnacentral:rRNA from 1 species